GUACACGCUGUGACUAGCAUAUCAAUAAGCGGAGGAAAAGAAACUAACAAGGAUUCCCCUAGUAACGGCGAGUGAAGCGGGAAGAGCUCAAAUUUGAAAUCUUAAAGGGUUUCCCUUUACGAAUUGUAGUUUAAAGAAGUGUUUUCUGUUGAGGUUUUGGUAAAAGUUCUUUGGAAUAGGACAUCAUAGAGGGUGAGAAUCCCGUACUUUGACCUUUACUUUCAACUUUGUGAUACACUUUCAAAGAGUCGGAUUGUUUGGGAAUGCAGUCCAAAAUGGGUGGUAAAUUUCAUCUAAAGCUAAAUAUUGGCGAGAGACCGAUAGCGAACAAGUACCGUGAGGGAAAGAUGAAAAGAACUUUGAAAAGAGAGUUAAACAGUACGUGAAAUUGUCAAAAGGGAAGCGUUUGACACCAGUGUUGUUUUUUCUGAAAAUCAAUUAAAGAACUGUUUAUGCUAAGCUGUUUAGACUUUAUCAGCUAUCUGUUUAGCUUUUGAGCUUUUCUUUAAUGCACUUUUCAGUUAACAAGUCAACAUCAAUUUCUUUUGCUGUAAAAAAGCUUGAGGAAGGUGGCUUGAGAUUCGUCUUAAGUGUUUAUAGCCUCUUGCCUAUGCAGUCGGAGAGAUUGAGGUCUGCAGCGUAGAUCCUUCGGGGCUAAAUGCAUUUGUGCUAAGUUAUAGCAUUUUAUAGACAACUUGUUGACUAUGAUUUGUCUUGUAGCUUACUCGCUUAUGUUAUUUUACCUACGCUUAGGAUGUUGACGCGCGUGUGUGCGUG
rnacentral:rRNA from 1 species